GUAAAACCUGGUAGAACGUCAGUCUCCAAAACUGAUUAUGGGGGUUCGAAUCCCUC
rnacentral:tRNA from 1 species